rnacentral:lncRNA from 1 species
ACAGUAGAACUAGAGCUCAUUAGUAAUCAAAUAAUCAUUCAAUAAAAAUUAAAACACAAAACAUUCAAAUAUUCAGUAAUCAAAUAAUCAUUGAAAAUGGCAUAAAUAAAAAACGCAGAAGAAGUUAGCAGUGAACUGACCGUCGAAGUCUAAGGUUUUUUUCUUGGUUGAGCUUCUGCUCUCUGAACUCGAAGGAAGGAAACUGGAAUGGAGAUGGGUUUUUCUUCUGAGCAGUCUGAGAAGAGGGGGGCAGAAUCAUGACGGAGACAGAGGCCAGGCGACGAACACAACUCAGAAGACGGUGGUGGGUUGGAAGAAUCUGCGACGACCAGACGAAGACGAUGGUGACUGAGCGCCCGACGGACGGCGGCAGGAGCGCGAUGGAGCAGAUGAAUACCAGGAACUGACGCGCCGAGGUCGAGGAAGAAGAAGCUGCGAUUCUUGAAGAAGGAGGAAGCACGGAUGACCAGACGACGAUGGUAGUGCCUGAGAGCGACGGACGGCGACAGUCCUUGCGGCGGUGGUGGAGAAGCUAGGGUUUCUGUUUCAAUUUCCUUUUUUGAUUUGGGGAGAAACUGUUAAGAUAGGGGUAUUCAAAAGGUAUUUUUGUCUAAUCAAAUAAAG